rnacentral:rRNA from 1 species
GUAGGUUGCAAGCGUUGUCCGGAAUUAUUGGGCGUAAAGCGCGCGCAGGCGGUUCUUUAAGUCUGAUGUGAAAGCCCACGGCUCAACCGUGGAGGGUCAUUGGAAACUGGAGAACUUGAGUACAGAAGAGGAAAGCGGAAUUCCACGUGUAGCGGUGAAAUGCGUAGAGAUGUGGAGGAACACCAGUGGCGAAGGCGGCUUUCUGGUCUGUAACUGACGCUGAGGCGCGAAAGCGUGGGGAGCAAACAGGGAUUAGAUACCCUGGUAGUCCACGCCGUAAACGAUGAGUGCUAAGUGUUAGGGGGUUUCCGCCCCCUUAGUGCUGCAGCUAACGCAUUAAGCACUCCGCCUGGGGAGUACGGCCGCAAGGCUG